GCUGAUGCGGGUUGUGUGUUGCUUGGCAGUGAACGAGUCGAAGAGUCAGUCUAGCAUUCAACCUCACUCUUUCAAGGGAAGUGUGGGGCUCUGAUAUGCUUGAUAAUGUGGGAAAGCCUUGUCACUCCAUACCUGGUUAUUCGGGAUGUGUGUUGCUUGGCAGUGUACGAUGAGUCUUUCUUGCGUUCAACGUCACUCCUUCAAGGGAAGUGUGGGGCUCUGAUAUGCUUGAUAAUGCGAGACAGCCGAGUGACUCCAUGCCCGGUGAUUCGGGUUGUGUGUUGCUUGGCAUUGAACGAGUUGAUCAGUCAGUCUUGCAUUCAACCUCACUCCUUCAAGGGAAGUGUGGGGCUCUGAUAGGCUUGAUAAUCUUCGGCAGCCAAAUGGCUUCAUGCUCAGUGACUCGGGAUGUGUGUUGAUAGGCAGUGACCAAGUCGAUGAGUGAGUAAUGCAUUUAACCUCACUCCUUCAAGGGAAGUGUGAGGCCCUGAUAUGCUUGACAAUGAGGGAAGCCUUGUAACUCCAUACCUGGUGAUUCAGGAUGCGUGUUCCUUAGCAGUGAACGAUGAGUCCUUCUUCCGUUCAUCCUAACUCUUUCAAGGGAAGUGUGGGGCUCUGACUUGCUUGAUAAUGCGGGGCAGCCAAGUGACUUCAUCCCCGUGAUCCGGGUUGUGUGUUGCUUGGCUGUGAACGAGUCUAUGAGUCAGUCUAACAUCAAAUAUCUGGCGAUACUUUGUCUAAAUAGGCAAAACACUUAGGGUCCAGCAAUUCGAUUGUGGAGUCUGAUCCUCUGUGUGCCUGUCUCUCCCUCUCUCUCUGUCUCUGUCCCUGUCUCUCUCUCCCUGUCUCUCCCUUUCUGUCUCUCUUUGUCUGUCUGUCUCUCUCUCUGUCCCCUCUCUCUCUCACUCUCUCUCUCUCUCUCUUUUACGGCGUCACCGAGGUCUGCUGCGGCGUGAUCUUGAUCUGCUACAGCGUCAUGGAGGUCGGCUACAGCGUCAUGGAGGUCGGCUACAGCGUCAUGGAGGUCGGCUACAGCGUCAUGGAGGUCGGCUACAGCGUCAUGAAGGUCCGCUGCAGCGUCAUGGAGGUCUGCUACAGCGUCAUGAAGGUCUGCUGCAGCGUCAUCGAGGUCUGCUACAGCUUCAUGGAGGUCUGCUACAGUGUCAACAAAAUCUGCUGCAGAAGCAUCGAAGAUGCCAUCCACACGUGAUGCUGGCUUCCGUUGCUCAUCGGACUGACGUGCAUCAAACUGGACAGUGGACAAGUGCAACACACCAUCGCUAUUCCAACCACCGACUGUGAUGCAGUGGGCAUCGGCAUUCAGCUGGGGAUCGGACACAGAGCAGAGUUGCGGACAUGCAAGCCCAGUGCACACAUACUGCGUGGAGGAGACAAACUUCACUUUGGUUGCCCUUCAUGGAGCGUUGGAAGAACGUGCAUCGGACUGAACUGUUCACGCUAUUGCUGCUGCAAACAUCUACAGUGAUGCAGUGGACAUCAACGAUCAACCUUUAAUUUUGCAUGUGUCUAAAAAAAUAUGUUUUCCAAGUGUGCCGCUUGUUGCCGCUUGUUGCCGCUAUCUUGGUUGUUGUGUGUGGAUCAUGGCCGUCGUUAUGUAAUAGCAGUGGGCUUGUGCGUAUGUGUGUGUGUGUGCUGAGGAGAUGCUCCCCGCAUGAAACUAACGGUUGCCAGCAUGACUGCUUGUACACCACGGCCUUACAAGAAGCGCAACAUGUAUGCUUCCCCUAUCGUCAACCACUCCGCAGUUUACAGCUUGUUAAAUUAUAAUGCCGGGAGAGCUGCGUGAUUGGAUGUGACAUUGUAGCUUGUAAGGUGCAGUGUACCUUGCUUCGGCGGCAUUGUACUGUGCAGGGCCACGGGGGCCUUCCUGCCGCUUGGAAUGUACACCCUAUGCUACUGUCAUA